GGCGACGAUCCGUAGCGGGUCUGAGAGGAUGAUCCGCCACACUGGGACUGAGACACGGCCCAGACUCCUACGGGAGGCAGCAGUGGGGAAUUUUGGACAAUGGGCGCAAGCCUGAUCCAGCCAUGCCGCGUGAGUGAAGAAGGCCUUCGGGUUGUAAAGCUCUUUCGGCCGGGAAGAAAUCGUGGUCUCUAACAUAGGCCAUGGAUGACGGUACCGGACUAAGAAGCACCGGCUAACUACGUGCCAGCAGCCGCGGUAAUACGUAGGGUGCGAGCGUUAAUCGGAAUUACUGGGCGUAAAGCGUGCGCAGGCGGUUUUGUAAGACAGAUGUGAAAUCCCCGGGCUUAACCUGGGAACUGCGUUUGUGACUGCAAGGCUAGAGUACGGCAGAGGGGGGUGGAAUUCCUGGUGUAGCAGUGAAAUGCGUAGAGAUCAGGAGGAACACCGAUGGCGAAGGCAGCCCCCUGGGCCUGUACUGACGCUCAUGCACGAAAGCGUGGGGAGCAAACAGGAU
rnacentral:rRNA from 1 species